rnacentral:misc_RNA from 1 species
UUUCCGUAGGUGAACCUGCGGAAGGAUCAUUAGUGAAUCGAAUAUGUUAGCGGACCUCUUCGUAGUCCCUAGCAUCAAAUCAUAUCCAUAACACUUGUGAACUGUAAGUCUGUCUUGAAAAUUAAAUUGAUUAGAGCGCCUUCCCAGUUUAUACAAACAUUUAAGCAACAAACGUGGAGGUUUUAUAAUGUAAUAAAACUUUCAACAACGGAUCUCUUGGCUCUC